AUUUUCCUACGGGGGGCAGCAGUGAGGGAUAUUGGCCAAUGGGGGAAACCCUGAUGCAGCGACGCCGCGUGAGUGAAGAAGUAUCUCGGUAUGUAAAGCUCUCUCAGCAGGAAAGAUAAUGACGGUACCUGACUGAGAAGCCCCGGCUAACUACGUGCCAGCAGCCGCGGUAAUACGUAGGGGGCAAGCGUUAUCCGGAUUUACUGGGUGUAAAGGGAGCGUAGACGGCAGCGCAAGUCUGGAGUGAAAUGCCGGGGCCCAACCCCGGAACUGCUUUGGAAACUGUGCGGCUC
rnacentral:rRNA from 1 species